UGGUGAAAAAUGGAUGAUGCUGGCAUGGUGUUCCUUCUCGAUGCUAUUUACAAGUUAGUGCCCUCAGAUCUGCAAAUUAAUUUGACCAUUUGUUUUCCAUGCUAACUUCCGGGGCUUGGUCGCUGGCAAGGCCAUCCUUUUCCAGGUUCCCACUGCGAGAGGAGUUAGCCGACAACCAUGAGCACCUAGAUCCGAUUCGUAUGGUCUUGCUGGCAAACAACAGAGCCGGAGUUGGCACUGAUAUGGCACAAGCUGGAGUGCGCCGUUGCCCGGAUACAUCCCCGACGAGGUCGGGCAGAGUCUAUCCACAGGCCCCUGGGUGGACAAAAAGAUGAAGUCAAGGGAACACCUGAUGAGACUUCGGCUAUUGCAACAACAGAAUGCCCACUUGCAGAGAAGGGAUCCAAAUCAACCGGCUCUUAAUGGUGCUAUGAACUUUGAUGUAUCAGUCAACAUGGCAGCCCUACAACAGUAGUUUCAGUCAAGAAACCAGCAAGUUGUAAUGCAUACUGUCUUCUGUGACUCAUUUCUAUUCACAGUUUCUCUGCACCUUUUUGCUGUUUCCUAAUAAUCCUAAUAUUCUACUCAUAUUGGCUGCUGUUUAAGGUCAAA